rnacentral:rRNA from 1 species
GAUGAACGCUGACAGAAUGCUUAACACAUGCAAGUCUACUUGAAUUUGGGUUUUUAACUUAGGUUUGGGUGGCGGACGGGUGAGUAACGCGUAAAGAACUUGCCUCACAGCUAGGGACAACAUUUAGAAAUGAAUGCUAAUACCUAAUAUUAUGAUAAUAGGGCAUCCUAUAAUUAUGAAAGCUAUAUGCGCUGUGAGAGAGCUUUGGGUCCUAUUAGCUAGUUGGUAAGGUAAAGGCUUACCAAGGCGAUGAUAGGUAGCCGGCCUGAGAGGGUGGACGGCCACAAGGGGACUGAGAUACGGCCCUUACUCCUACGGGAGGCAGCAGUGGGGAAUAUUGGACAAUGGAGGAAACUCUGAUCCAGCAAUUCUGUGUGUGUGAAGAAGGUCUUCGGAUUGUAAAACACUUUUAGUUGGGAAGAAACAAAUGACGGUACCAAC